rnacentral:rRNA from 1 species
GAUGAACGCUAGCGGCAGGCCUAAUACAUGCAAGUCGAACGCGAUUGCGGUGCUUGCACCGCAUGAAAGUGGCGUACGGGUGCGUAACGCGUGAGCAACCUACCGUUGUCUGGGGGAUAGCCCGGAGAAAUCCGGAUUAAUACCGCAUAAUAUUAAGGAGCAGCAUUGCUUUUUGAUCAAACAUUUAUGGGACAGCGAUGGGCUCGCGUGACAUUAGCUAGUUGGAGUGGUAACGGCACACCAAGGCGACGAUGUCUAGGGGAUCUGAGAGGAUGACCCCCCACACUGGGACUGAGACACGGCCCAGACUCCUACGGGAGGCAGCAGUAAGGAAUAUUGGUCAAUGGAGGCAACUCUGAACCAGCCAUGCCGCGUGCAGGAAGAAUGCCCUCUGGGUUGUAAACUGCUUUUAUCAGGGAAUAAACCCUUCUACGUGUAGGAGGCUGAAUGUACCUGAGGAAUAAGGAUCGGCUAACUCCGUG